CUACGGGAGGCAGCAGUGGGGAAUAUUGCACAAUGGGCGGAAGCCUGAUGCAGCAACGCCGCGUGCGGGAUGACGGCCUUCGGGUUGUAAACCGCUUUCGCCUGUGACGAAGCGUGAGUGACGGUAAUGGGUAAAGAAGCACCGGCUAACUACGUGCCAGCAGCCGCGGUGAUACGUAGGGUGCGAGCGUUGUCCGGAUUUAUUGGGCGUAAAGGGCUCGUAGGUGGUUGAUCGCGUCGGAAGUGUAAUCUUGGGGCUUAACCCUGAGCGUGCUUUCGAUACGGGUUGACUUGAGGAAGGUAGGGGAGAAUGGAAUUCCUGGUGGAGCGGUGGAAUGCGCAGAUAUCAGGAGGAACACCAGUGGCGAAGGCGGUUCUCUGGGCCUUUCCUGACGCUGAGGAGCGAAAGCGUGGGGAGCGAACAGGCUUAGAUACCCUGGUAGUCCACGCUGUAAACGGUGGGUACUAGGUGUGGGGUCCAUUCCACGGGUUCCGUGCCGUAGCUAACGCUUUAAGUACCCCGCCUGGGGAGUACGGCCGCAAGGCUAAAACUCAAAGGAAUUGACG
rnacentral:rRNA from 1 species